rnacentral:rRNA from 1 species
UACGAAGGGGGCUAGCGUUGUUCGGAAUUACUGGGCGUAAAGCGCGCGCAGGCGGCUAUCCAAGUCAGUGGUGAAAGCCCGGAGCUCAACUCCGGAACUGCCAUUGAAACUGUUUAGCUUGAGGAUGAGAGAGGUGAGUGGAAUUCCCAGUGUAGAGGUGAAAUUCGUAGAUAUUGGGAAGAACACCGGUGGCGAAGGCGGCUCACUGGCUCAUUACUGACGCUCAGGCGACGAUAGCGUGGGGAUCAAACAGG